GGUUUUUAAUAAGAUAAUAAAUUAUUUUUCACGAAAUGCAUUGAGCUAACCAAACUGAGUCCUGGACUUUAAAUUAUGUGUAGCAAUACAUAAAGAAUAAUUGUGGUUAGGAGUGAUAGGCUAAUCAAAUUGUUAGAUAUCUUGUUCAAGGGUAAAUAUAUGUAGUAUUAAAGCAAAAUAGAAAUGGUUAGGUUUUUAUUUAACAUUAAAGGUCACAUCUAGAGUGUAGCAAGUUUAACAACUACUAUAACUAAAUUUACAACAUUGACUAGCUGUAGUUUAUGGAUAGGACCUUUGAUUUUUGUUUAACUGUUCAAAAUGUUUAAUGAGAAUAUUAGUAUAUAUUAUACUCCGUAUAAAGGAACUCGGCAAAUCUUUUACUUAACUGUUUAACAAAAACAUAGCUGGGCGAGAUUAUACCUAGUCAUUACUGCUCAAUGAUAUAUUAAAUAGCCGCAGUACCCUGACUGUGCAAAGGUAGCAUAAUCAGUUGGCUUAUAAUUGAAGUCUUGCAUGAAUGUAGCCAUAGGUAGAUGCUGUCUCUACACUGCAUAUUGAAUUUACUAAGCCGGUGAAAAAUCCAGCACGAAAAAAAUAGACGAGAAGACCCUAGAAAUUUCUUGAAGGGUAUAACAUCUAUAUUAGAUUUUGUUGGGGCGACAGGGUAACAUCAUUAAACUUACCUUAUUGAAUUAGAACUAAUUGUGUAAAAAAAAAUUACUCUAGGGAUAACAGCAUAAUUCUUGAGAGUUUGUGACCUCGAUGUUGGACUAGGAAAGGUAAUGUUCAGAAGAUAUUAUUAUUGGCUCUGUUCGAGCUGUAAUUCCUACGUGAUCUGAGUUCAGACCGG
rnacentral:rRNA from 1 species